UACGUAGGUGGCAAGCGUUGUCCGGAUUUACUGGGCGUAAAGAGCGCGCAGGCGGUCGUUCAAGUCGCGUGUGAAAGCCCUCGGCUUAACUGAGGAAGUGCACCCGAAACUGAGUAGCUAGAGUACGAAAGAGGGUCGCGGAAUUCCCGGUGUAGAGGUGAAAUUCGUAGAUAUCGGGAGGAACACCGGUGGCGAAGGCGGCGACCUGGGUCGAGACUGACGCUGAGGCGCGAAAGCGUGGGGAGCAAACAGG
rnacentral:rRNA from 1 species